AACAAAUUCUAACUAAGUAUGAUGACACAUGUGAAUGCAAAUGCUGUAAUGAAACAAAUUAUUUUUAUGCUAAUUUUUGAAGAUGUUUUUGUUUGUACAAAUGUUUUGCCUGCAUGCAUAUGGACACCAGAUGUAUGUCUGGUGCCCACAGGGGUCAGAAAGGGCUGCUGGAUCUCCUGGAACUGUAGUUACAGAUUGUUGGUAACUGUUACGUGGGUGCUGGGAACCAAACCCAGGUCCUCUGCAAAAGCAGCAAGUGCUUUUAAUGACUGAGCCAUUUUGAUAGCCCUGCUACCAUGCAAAACAACAUAACCAGUGUGAUGGUUCACUGGGUAAAGAAAGGGACUUGGCAAAUCUGAGUUCUCUCUGUGGGAUCCAUAUGAUGUAAGGGGAGAACUGACUCUAGAAAUUUUUCUCUGACCUCCACACGAGCACCAUGGUAUAUAAAUCCCCACACCCACACCUACACAAAUACACAUACACAGAAAGAAAUGAAAAGGUAAUAAAAUGUAAACAUCAACAGCAGUAAUAAACACAUACAGAAAUCACCAUGGAAACCGUUAUAGAUGUGCCCUGUGUACUCUAUUGACUGUCACCUAUAAAAUCAUGCUUGACAACUGUGCAAUCAAGUUACAAAAAACAAUCACAAAAAUCUUGUAAUGCUAAUCAUUUUGUGUUUGAAUGCAUCCAUAUAGCUAUCCUGGGCCCCAUAUGACCUAUGGCCUGUAAGUUAGCAUGUAUAUAAUUUUUUUCCAUUAUAGAAGAAGCCUUAUCAUAUACAGAAAAGUGAAUUCAUGUGGGGCAUUGGGCUAUGCACAGACAGGCUGGUCUCCACUCGAAUUGAGAUGCUGAACUCCGGGACCUGGUGUUCAUAAUUUACCUACAUGGGAUGGAAGGAGUUCCCUCAUGUCUCCUGGAACUCUGGCUCCUGCCUAAGUUACCACCCCCCACAGCGCCCACAAGAGAAGCAUGGCUAGAAGUCACGUAGGCAAUGGCCCAAGCUUCUGACCUUCAGGCUAAACUCCUCUCCAGUUACCUAGCAACAGAAAAUUCCUUAAAUUUCCAUAAGAACUUUCUAAAAACAAUUUUAAAUUUCCACAAAUCACCUUAUGAAAGACUAAUUUGUAAUAAGCUAAAUCUGAAUUCUGAAAUUUUCAUAUGAUGCAUAACUCCACUUUUCAUUUUUCCAGGGCAAGCUCCAUGCUCAGGAAUAGUCAGCCAACACAUAUUGGACUCCAUGCUUACUACAAAAGAUGGCUGGAGCAGGGGGUAAUUAAUUGUCUUUGUCUCCCAUGUAAGAUUUACCUUAUCAGGGUGAAAUGGAUAUGGCUUAAUGUAUGUGUGAGAGUGGGGGUGAGUCUGGGAGGAUUGGAAGAGGGAAAAGAAUAUAUGAUCAAAAUAUAUCAUGUGACAUUUUCAAAGAAUAAAUAGAAACUGGUUUGAGGGGGCUAGAGAAAGAUUCAGCAGUUAAGACUCUUGCUGCUCUUGCAAAGAACCCAUGUUUGGCUCUCAGCAUUCACAUUCAGUGACUCACAACCACUGUAACUCCAACUCCAGGGGAUCUGCACACCAUCUUCUUACAGCUGAAACACACACACGAACAUGUAUAUGUGAAUGCACACCCAUACACCCACUCACCCACCCCACCCUACAUCAUCCCCACACACAGACACAAAUUUUUUGAAAAUCUUUAAAAAAUAUUUUUAUCAAAGUUUCUACAUAUAUGUAUAAAAAUGCACAAUUCUAUUUAUAAUAUAAACACUGUUUUAUAUCAUAUAUUAUAUUUAUAUAUUAUACAUUCCUCACAAUGUAUAUUUAUAAUUAUUAAAUAAUUAUAGUUGUAUCUUUUUAAUUGACUUCCCGAUGAAUUGGCAUUCUUUGCUGCCUUGCCCUUUUAUGAUUUCAGAUCUAUUUCAUUUUGACAUGUCAUCACAUUGUAUUUUGGUCUACAAAGUUUUGUUUUUCCUGAGAAAUCCACCCAUACUUUUGUGAAGGGAUUCCUUUCAUGUGACAAAUGGCUUUACUUUUUUUUGUUUUUUAUAACUCUUUGACUUUGACUUUGAUAAUUCAAUUCUAAUACAGUACAAUAAUCUUUCUGUCAAAUGUUGAGAAUCUUUAGUCUUCCUUGUGAGUAUAUAUUUCUAGCCCUAAAUUUGGGGAUAUUUUAACCAUUGUUUCUUUUAAUAAUCUUUUUUCUCCAUCUCUUUUUCCUCUUAUAACUCCAGCUCUAGGAGUUCUGAUACCCUGAAUCUGGCACCUAAAGGCACCAUAUGUAUACAUAUAUUAUAAUGUAUUAGUCAAUUUUCUGUUGCUAUAAACAAGUGCCUGAGGCUGGGUACUUUAUAAAUAGAGUGGAUUUAUUCACCUCAUAGUUUGUGGGAAAUGACUGUCCAAGAUCAGUUAUUCUCAUCUGUUCAGCUUCUGCCAAGGACAUUUUGAUGUCUCAGAAAGAGAUGGACAGCAUGAUGGAAGGGCACAUGUGAAGUGGUACUACAUUGUGAAAAGACAGAAAGCCAGAGAGAUUCAGAGGUCAGUCUCAAUAUUAUAAUGGAACCCAUUCUUGAGAAAGCUAACUCCUGCUGUGAUACCAGAAUUAAUCCUCAUAAAAAGAAGUGCUCUUAGCAACUUAAUUACAUUUCAGUAGGCUACAGGGUUCAACAAGAAUAUUUAUAAUUAUCUAAAAAAAAUAACAUUCUCCUCUCCUUUUCAGCUACCUAUAUGCAGGAGAUCAGAUUUUCUUCUGAGAUUUCAACCUAAGGAACUGAUCACAAUAAAAUGAAUACAGAAUCAAAUAUUAGGAUCUGUCAAUAAACAGAUUAUAAAAAUCC
rnacentral:lncRNA from 1 species